CACGUAGGGCGCAAGCGUUGUCCGGAAUUAUUGGGCGUAAAGAGCUCGUAGGCGGUCUGUUGCGUCCGCUGUGAAAAACUCGGGGCUUAACCCCGAGCCUGCAGUGGAUACGGGCAGACUAGAGGUAGGUAGGGGAGAAUGGAAUUCCUGGUGUAGCGGUGAAAUGCGCAGAUAUCAGGAGGAACACCGGUGGCGAAGGCGGGUCUCUGGGCCGAUACUGACGCUGAGACGCGAAAGCGUGGGGAGCGAACAGG
rnacentral:rRNA from 1 species